rnacentral:rRNA from 1 species
AUUUAAGGUCUGAUCUGCUCAAUGAUAUUUAAAUAGCCGCAGUAUUUUGACUGUGCAAAGGUAGCAUAAUAAUUAGUUUCUUGAUUAGAAACUGGAAUGAAUGAUUGGACAAGAAAAUUUCUGUCUCUUUCUUAAUUUUAUUGAAUUUUAUUUUUAAGUGAAAAAGCUUAAAUUUUUAUAAAAGACGAGAAGACCCUAUAGAGUUUAAUAUAUAAUUUCAAUAAGUAUUUAGAAUAUUUUUUUGUUUUUCAUAUAUUUAGUUGGGGUGUCUAAAAGAUUAAACUAAUUCUUUUAUAAUAAUAUUGAUUAUAUUCAAAUUCUAAAUCUAUAAUUUAUAAAUUUAAAAUAAAUUACCUUAGGGAUAACAGCGUAAUUUUUCUUUAAAGAUCUUAUUGUAAGAAAAGUUUGCGACCUCGAUGUUGGAUUAAAAUUAAUUUUUGGUGCAAUAACUUAAAAAUUAGGUCUGUUCGACCUUUAAAAUU